AGUGAACGCUGGCGGUAGGCCUAACACAUGCCAGUCGAACGGCAGCACAGUAAGAGCUUGCUCUUACGGGUGGCGAGUGGCGGACGGGUGAGGAAUACAUCGGAAUCUACUUUUUCGUGGGGGAUAACGUAGGGAAACUUACGCUAAUGCCGCAUACGACCUACGGGUGAAAGCAGGGGAUCUUCGGACCUUGCGCGACUGAAUGAGCCGAUGUCGGAUUAGCUAGUUGGCGGGGUAAAGGCCCACCAAGGCGACGAUCCGUAGCUGGUCUGAGAGGAUGAUCAGCCACACUGGAACUGAGACACGGUCCAGACUCCUACGGGAGGCAGCAGUGGGGAAUAUUGGACAAUGGGCGCAAGCCUGAUCCAGCCAUACCGCGUGGGUGAAGAAGGCCUUCGGGUUGUAAAGCCCUUUUGUUGGGAAAGAAAAGCAGCAGGUUAAUACCCCGCUGUUCUGACGGUACCCAAAGAAUAAGCACCGGCUAACUUCGUG
rnacentral:rRNA from 1 species